CAUGAUAUAAACUUGCACACCUCAUAUUUUGGCUGGCUCCUUUUCCUAUUUUUAAAGUUAUGGCCCCUGAAAUAGUAAAAAAAAAUGCACAUUAUCGCGCCUAGCUGAAAAAGUAUUUGAUUAAAAUUCAUGAAACCUUGCUAGAGUCUUUAUCAUAAUGCUACCGUGCACACUUGGCAUUUUUCUUGGCACUUAUUACAGAGUUAUGGCCCUUGAAAUAACUAAAAUAGUGGAUUUUUUGUUUGUGAUGCUCAUAGCUCAAAAAGUGUAUGGCCUAGAAUAAUAAAUCCUUUUCAUAAAAUGUUUGUUUAGGCUAUACCCUAUUAAGAAGCAAACAUUUGAAUUAUUUCCCCUUAUUUGUGACAAAUGUACCACUGUGUGGGGGUGGGGGCACACCCUGUGUCCCACAGACACAUUCUAAUUUUAGUGUUACCUUGCACCACAUGAAAUUUAGAAUGUUACGUUUUGCAAUAUGAAUUUUGUAGUGGUAAGUUUCUCGAUAUGAAUUUUAAUACUUUACGUUAUUUUACGUUGCACAAGAUGAUUGUUUAUAAAAAGCUGUGUUGCAUCACUUGAAUUUUAGACAGUUACACUUUGCACACUAGAAGUUUAAAAUGUAAUGCUGCAUCAAAUGAAUAUUAGAAUGUCAAGGUGCCUUGAAGAAUAUAGGUAGAGAGCGCAAUAUCCAGAUUGACUGAAGAAUUGUGAAAAACUUUAGUAUAUUAUUUUGUACCACAUGAAUGUUUGAGUGCUAAAUUGUACUAUCGGGCCGAGUAUGUACUUAGAGGAGUCCCUGGAACGUUAUAUUACAUGUGUGGUUUUCUUGUGUAAUGUAGAAUAGGAAACAUUAGGGACAAUUCUUAAGGCACUUCCUUUAAAUGGUUAACUGUAAGUGAUAACUUGACAAGUUACUGAUUGAAACUUAAAUAAAUUUCAGGUGUCUAUUCUGAAAAUCACAAGAGACUUUUACUACAGUACCGUAGAGGAAUUAUUCUUAUAUAUUAUCAAUAAAGACAUAAGUAUUAACUUUUUGUUUUUGUUUAUAUUUAGAUGCACUGGAGCCACUCACACAAUUUAAGGAUGUUACGUUGCACCACAUGAAUAGUACAGGGAACAAUAUCCAGAUUGACUGGAGCCACUCGUACUAUUUAGGGUGUUACGUUUCACCACGAAUGUUAGAAUGUUACGUUGUACCAUAUGAAUUGUAAAUUAUUUCAUUGUGUUACGUGCAUUUUAUAAUGCUACGUUGUGUCAAAUGAAUUUUACAUUUGUAACACAUGGAUAUUAGAAUGCUAAGUUGGACCACAUGAAUAUUAAUGAAGUGCCCAAUAUCAAGUCUGUUUUGAACCACUCAAACCCUUUUACAAUGGAAUAUUGUACCACUUGAAUUCUGGAUGUUAGGUUGAACAACAUGAAUAUUAGUAGAGAACCAAACAUAGAGAUUGACUGUAGUUUUUUCUAGUGCAAGUCUUAUCAUUUCACAGUUACACGUUCUACCAAAUGAAUUUUUGAAUGCCAUGUUGCCCAACAUGAAUUUAGUAGUGUUAUAUUGCACCAAAUGAAUUUUAAAAUGUUAUGUUGUACCACUUGAAGUUUAGAAUGCAACGUUCUACCAUAUGAAUUUUAGAAUGCUACGUUGUAUCUUAUGAAUUAUAAAAACUUAUGUUGUGUUACAUGCAUCUUAUUAGUUUUUUCUAGUGCAAGUCUUAUCAUUUCACAGUUACACGUUCUACCAAAUGAAUUUUUGAAUGCCAUGUUGCCCAACAUGAAUUUAGUAGUGUUAUAUUGCACCAAAUGAAUUUUAAAAUGUUAUGUUGUACCACUUGAAGUUUAGAAUGCAACGUUCUACCAUAUGAAUUUUAGAAUGCUACGUUGUAUCUUAUGAAUUAUAAAAACUUAUGUUGUGUUACAUGCAUCUUAUUAUGUAACGUUACACCACAUGAAUUUUACAAUGUUGUGUUGGACCACAUAAAUAUUUAUAUUGCACCACGUGAUCUUUUGAGUGUUACAUUGUACCACAUAAGUUUUAUAAAUUAUCGCACAUGAAUCGUAAAAUAUUCUUCAUAAUCGUGAUGAACUUUUAUGUUGCAUCUCUUGACUCCUUAGUGUUGCUUUGAAUUUUAUUUGUUAUAUUGCACCAUAUUAUUUUUUAUGUUGCACCACAUUAUUUUUAGUGUUACCUAUUAAGAGUUUUUCGUUUCGCAUGAUACUGAUAGAACCUUUGAUAAAUUUCAGGUGUCUGUUUUGAAGAUCACAAGGGAUUUUUGCUACAGCAUCUUAGAGGUGUUUUGAAUAAAAACAGAAGUGAUGAUUAUUUUCUGUUAAGAAAGUUGGCAGUCUUAUAUAGUCGUCUGUGAACUGCCAAGACCUUACCUUUGAUACUUGUCAGCCUACCAGAGGAUGGCGUGAAGAAGUCUCGAGAUGAACCAUAAUGUUUACGGGAGUUCGAAGAGAUCUAUAUGAGAACUUGAGAAACGUUAAUCUGACGAGUCUAACACAGAAGGAAUCAUCACUAUGAGAUGAUCCAUCAAGUGGCAGCCAUAAUGUUUACAGGAGUCCGAAGAGAUCUAUAUGAGUAUGACGAGUCUAACACAGAAGAAAUCGGCCUCUCUGAACCAUCUCUAAACUUGUUAAGAUCCUACAUCCAUUAGCGCCACCACACCUGCGAAGGCUCCCGCACUUUCAGAUCCUACAUCUCUCAGCGCCACUACUCCAGCGAAGGCUCGUACGGACCCUACAUCUCUCAGCGCCACCACUCCCGCGAAUCUUAUUAAGAGAACUGACUGUGGACGAAGAAAACUUCGCUGCUGAAAGGAAAACGCGAACUAGAAAAACGCAAUCAAACAGCACCACGUAUAUUUUAAAUCAAGAAAAAUUGACAGUAUUUCAGAAGUCAGUAGAAAGUGUUUAUGGUCGCAUUGUGUUAUGUGUAGAUACUUUAAAACUUCAUUAUACAUACAUUUCUUGAGAAAGUAUUAAUUCAGUUGAAUGUAGUAUAUGGUUUACUAGUUGUAUUUGCCAUGGAAACAUUUUUUAUCCUGAAAAGUAAAAAGUUUCAGUAUGUGUGCAGCGGUUUCUUUGCUUAGUGAACUUGUUAUCAAAAUAAAUUUGACUUGAAAAUAAAAUUUGAAAGACUGUUUGAACAAAAUAAAUGUAUUCUAACGUAAUUAAGUAGAAUAUAUGUAUUCUAACGUGAUUAAGUAGAAUAUAAGUGCAUUUAUACAUUGUAAUAUAGAAGCAUGUGUAUAUUGUACCCAUAC